rnacentral:rRNA from 1 species
CCUACGGGUCGCAGCAGUGGGGAAUAUUGCACAAUGGGCGCAAGCCUGAUGCAGCCAUGCCGCGUGUAUGAAGAAGGCCUUCGGGUUGUAAAGUACUUUCAGCGAGGAGGAAGGCAUUAAGGUUAAUAACCUUGGUGAUUGACGUUACUCGCAGAAGAAGCACCGGCUAACUCCGUGCCAGCAGCCGCGGCAAUACGGAGGGUGCAAGCGUUAAUCGGAAUUACUGGGCGUAAAGCGCACGCAGGCGGUCUGUCAAGUCGGAUGUGAAAUCCCCGGGCUCAACCUGGGAACUGCAUUCGAAACUGGCAGGCUAGAGUCUUGUAGAGGGGGGUAGAAUUCCAGGUGUAGCGGUGAAAUUCGUAGAUAUUCGGAGGAACACCAGUGGCGAAGGCGGCUUACUGGUCUGCAACUGACGCUGAGGCGCGAAAGCGUGGGGAGCAAACAGGAUUAGAUACCCGUGUAGUC